UCCAGCUGGUGAACCGGCUCUGAUACCAAAUGUAACGCCCCAACUUCCCAGGGGUCACCCAUCCUAGGACUACUCCCGUCCUAGCACGCUUAACUCUCUUAACCUCUUGGGCCUUGCCACCACCUAAUAUGCUUAAGCCGGGUUAAGAGUUUAGCCCUAUUAUAUCUUAUAUAUAGGACUAUCUGGGGUCUCACAAUCAAAAUUUGUAACGCCCCAACUUCCCAGGGGGUCACCCAUCCUAGGACUACUCCCGUCCUAGCAGGCUUAACUCUCUUAACCUCUUGGGCCUUGCCACCACCCAAUAUGCUUAAACCGGGUUAAGAGUUUAGCCCUAUUAUAUCUUAUAUAUAGGACUAUCUAGGGUCUCACAAUCUCCCCUCCUUUAAGCCCUGACGUCCUCGUCAGGCUCAGACUCACAAGUACCAGGCGAUGUGAGACUCGUCUCGCUAGCCCGUCAUCCAGACCCUGGCUCAGCCGAGACUCGUCUCACACUUCCGGCUGGUAAUUGGCUCUGAUACCAUUUGUGACGCCCCAACUUCCCAGGGGGUCACCCAUACUAGGACUACUCCCGUCCUAGCACACUUAACUCUCUUAACCUCUUGGGCCUUGCCACCACCCAAUAUGC
rnacentral:lncRNA from 1 species